AAAUCUUGACAUCCCGAUGACAGAGUAUGUAAAGUACUUUCCCUUCGGGGCAUCGGAGACAGGUGGUGCAUGGUUGUCGUCAGCUCGUGUCGUGAGAUGUUGGGUUAAGUCCCGCAACGAGCGCAACCCUUAUCUUUAGUAGCCAGCAGUGAGAUGGGAACUCUAGAGAGACUGCCGGGGACAACCCGGAGGAAGGCAGGGAUGACGUCAAAUCAUCAUGCCCCUUAUGAUUUGGGCUACACACGUGCUACAAUGGCGUAAACAGAGGGAGGCGAACCCGCGAGGGGGAGCGAACCCCAAAAAUAACGUCCCAGUUCGGAUUGUAGUCUGCAACCCGACUACAUGAAGCCGGAAUCGCUAGUAAUCGCGGAUCAGAAUGCCGCGGUGAAUACGUUCCCGGGUC
rnacentral:rRNA from 1 species